AUGUGUUCUAUUUGUGAGGUUCAAGAUGAAGACAUCUUUCAUGCUCUAGUGAGUUGUUCUAAAGCUCGUGCUCUUCGAAUAGCCGUGAGAGAGUGGUGGAAUAUUCCGGAUGAAGAGUUCUUCAAGUGCACAGGACCAACUUGGUUAUUGAUUUUGCUGGCACAAUUGGGUUUGCGGCAAAGGGAGCAAAUCUUGUUUCUUUUCUGGCGAGCAUGGCAUUUGAGAAAUGAUUUAAUUUUUGGGAAGGGGAAAGAAUCCGUUAAUGCCUCUGCACAUUUUGUGGACAAUUUUUGGACCACUUUCACGUCCAAUCAUGACACUGCUCAAUUGGAUGCUAGCAACAAAGGUUAUAUCAAGAUCAAUGUUGACGCCAGUUUUGUGGAGAGUACUAAUGCAGCCAGUGUGGGGGCGUAG
rnacentral:rRNA from 1 species